rnacentral:rRNA from 1 species
ACCAGUCAUAUGGAUUCCUACGGGAGGCAGCAGUGGGGAAUUUUGGACAAUGGGGGCAACCCUGAUCCAGCCAUGCCGCGUGAGUGAAGAAGGCCUUCGGGUUGUAAAGCUCUUUCGGCCGGGAAGAAAACGUAUGGGUUAAUACCCUGUGCGGAUGACGGUACCGGCAUAAGAAGCACCGGCUAACUACGUGCCAGCAGCCGCGGUAAUACGUAGGGUGCGAGCGUUAAUCGGAAUUACUGGGCGUAAAGCGUGCGCAGGCGGUUUUUUAAGACAGGCGUGAAAUCCCCGGGCUCAACCUGGGAACUGCGCUUGUGACUGGAAGGCUAGAGUACGGCAGAGGGGGGUGGAAUUCCACGUGUAGCAGUGAAAUGCGUAGAGAUGUGGAGGAACACCAAUGGCGAAGGCAGCCCCCUGGGUCGAUACUGACGCUCAUGCACGAAAGCGUGGGUAGCAAACAGGAUUAGAUACCCUGGUAGUCCACGCCCUAAACGAUGUCAACUAGGUGUUGGAAGGGUAAAACCUUUUAGUACCGGAGCUAACGCGUGAAGUUGACCGCCUGGGGAGUACGGCCGCAAGGUUAAAACUCAAAGGAAUUGACGGGGACCCGCACAAGCGGUGGAUGAUGUGGAUUAAUUCGAUGCAACGCGAAAAACCUUACCUACCCUUGACAUGUCCAGGAGCCCUUAGAGAUUUGGGUGUGCCCGAAAGGGAACUGGAACACAGGUGCUGCAUGGCUGUCGUCAGCUCGUGUCGUGAGAUGUUGGGUUAAGUCCCGCAACGAGCGCAACCCUUGUCGUUAAUUGCCAUCAUUUAGUUGGGCACUUUAACGAGACUGCCGGUGACAAACCGGAGGAAGGUGGGGAUGACGUCAAGUCCUCAUGGCCCUUAUGGGUAGGGCUUCACACGUCAUACAAUGGUCGGUACAAAGGGUCGCCAACCCGCGAGGGGGAGCCAAUCCCAGAAAGCCGAUCGUAGUCCGGAUCGUAGGCUGCAACUCGCCUGCGUGAAGUCGGAUCGCUAGUAAUCGUGGAUCAGCAUGUCACGG